AGUGAACGCUGGCGGUAGGCCUAACACAUGCAAGUCGAACGGCAGCACAGUAAGAGCUUGCUCUUACGGGUGGCGAGUGGCGGACGGGUGAGGAAUACAUCGGAAUCUACUUUUUCGUGGGGGAUAACGUAGGGAAACUUACGCUAAUACCGCGUACGACCUACGGGUGAAAGCAGGGGAUCUUCGGACCUUGCGCGAUUGAAUGAGCCGAUGUCGGAUUAGCUAGUUGGCGGGGUAAAGGCCCACCAAGGCGACGAUCCGUAGCUGGUCUGAGAGUAUGAUCAGCCACACUGGAACUGAGACACGGUCCAGACUCCUACGGGAGGCAGCAGUGGGGAAUAUUGGACAAUGGGCGCAAGCCUGAUCCAGCCAUACCGCGUGGGUGAAGAAGGCCUUCGGGUUGUAAAGCCCUUUUGUUGGGAAAGAAAAGCAGCAGGUUAAUACCCCGCUGUCCUGACGGUACCCAAAGAAUAAGCACCGGCUAACUUCGUG
rnacentral:rRNA from 1 species